rnacentral:rRNA from 1 species
UACGUAGGUGGCAAGCGUUGUCCGGAUUUACUGGGCGUAAAGGGAGCGUAGGUGGAUAUUUAAGUGGGAUGUGAAAUACUCGGGCUUAACCUGGGUGCUGCAUUCCAAACUGGAUAUCUAGAGUGCGGGAGAGGAAAGUAGAAUUCCUAGUGUAGCGGUGAAAUGCGUAGAGAUUAGGAAGAAUACCAGUGGCGAAGGCGACUUUCUGGACUGUAACUGACACUGAGGCUCGAAAGCGUGGGGAGCAAACAGG